rnacentral:lncRNA from 1 species
GUUGGGGUUCGUUGGGUGGUGGACCCCAAAGUUGGGAUGGUGGAGACCCCAAAGUUGGGGUUCAUUGGGUGGUGGACCCCAAAGCGGGGCUUGGAGACCCCACAGUUGGGGGGUGCGGGGUGGAGAGCCUGAAGAUGGGGUUGUUUGGGGGGUGGAGAGCCUGGAGUGGGGGUACGUUGGGUCGUGGAGACCUCAAAGUUGGGGUACGUUGGGUGGUGGACCUCAAAGUUGGGGUUGGAGACCCCAAAGUUGGGGUACGUUGGGUGGAGACCCCAAAGUGGGGGUUCGUUGGGUGGUGGACCCCAAAGCGGGGCUUGGAG